AGAGUUUGAUCAUGGCUCAGGAUGAACGCUAGCUACAGGCUUAACACAUGCAAGUCGAGGGGCAGCAUGGUCUUAGCUUGCUAAGGCCGAUGGCGACCGGCGCACGGGUGAGUAACGCGUAUCCAACCUGCCCUUACACGUCUUAGGACAGCCUUCUGAAAAGGGAGAUUAAUACAAGAUGUUAUCAUGAGUAAGCAUUUUCGCAUGAUUAAAGGUUUACCGGUGUAAGAUGGGGAUGCGUUCCAUUAGAUAGUAGGCGGGGUAACGGCCCACCUAGUCUUCGAUGGAUAGGGGUUCUGAGAGGAAGGUCCCCCACAUUGGAACUGAGACACGGUCCAAACUCCUACGGGAGGCAGCA
rnacentral:rRNA from 1 species